rnacentral:rRNA from 1 species
CCUGCCAGUAGUCAUAUGCUUGUCUCAAAGAUUAAGCCAUGCAUGUGUAAGUAUAAGUAUUGUACAGCGAAACUGCGAAUGGCUCAUUACAUCAGUUAUAGUUUAUUUGAUAUUUGAAAGUUACAUGGAUAACCGUGGCAAUUCUACAGCUAAUACAUGCUUCAAAACCUGACUUCGGAAGGGUUGUAUUUAUUAGAUAUUAAACCAUCCCCUCGGGGCUGUGAUGAAUCAUAAUAACUGAUCGAAUCGAGGUUCGCCUUGAUAAAUCAUUCAAGUUUCUGCCCUAUCAGCUGUAGAUGGUAGUGUAUUGGACUACCAUGGCUAUUACGGGUAACGGAGAAUUAGGGUUCGAUUCCGGAGAGGGAGCCUGAGAAACGGCUACCACAUCUACGGAUGGCAGCAGGCGCGAAAAUUGCCCAAUCCCGAUUCGGGGAGGCAGUGACAAGAAAUAACAACCCAGAACAUUGUUUCCGGGAUUGCAAUGAGAACAA